AUUGAACGCUGGCGGCAUGCCUUACACAUGCAAGUCGAACGGUAACAGGUCUUCGGAUGCUGACGAGUGGCGAACGGGGGAGUAAUACAUCGGAACGUGCCCGAUCGUGGGGGAUAACGGAGCGAAAGCUUUGCUAAUACCGCAUACGAUCUACGGAUGAAAGCAGGGGACCGCAAGGCCUUGCGCGGACGGAGCGGCCGAUGGCAGAUUAGGUAGUUGGUGGGAUAAAAGCUUACCAAGCCGACGAUCUGUAGCUGGUCUGAGAGGACGACCAGCCACACUGGGACUGAGACACGGCCCAGACUCCUACGGGAGGCAGCAGUGGGGAAUUUUGGACAAUGGGCGAAAGCCUGAUCCAGCCAUGCCGUGUGCAGGAUGAAGGCCUUCGGGUUGUAAACUGCUUUUGUACGGAACGAAAAGACUCUUUCUAAUAAAGAGGGUCCAUGACGGUACCGUAAGAAUAAGCACCGGCUAACUACGUG
rnacentral:rRNA from 1 species